GACAGAGGGUGCAAACGUUGUUCGGAAUUACUGGGCGUAAAGCGCGUGUAGGUGGCGAGGCAAGUCGGGUGUGAAAGCCCUGGGCUCAACCCAGGAAGUGCACUCGAUACUGCCUAGCUAGAGUCCCGGAGAGGUUGGUGGAACUCUCGGUGUAGAGGUGAAAUGCGCAGAGAUCGGGAGGAACACCAAUGGCGAAAGCAGGUACCUGGACUAGUACUGACACUCAGCUGCGAAAGCUAGGGGAGCAAACAGG
rnacentral:rRNA from 1 species